rnacentral:rRNA from 1 species
GCUCGAGUGGCGAACGGGUGAGUAACACGUGAGUAACCUGCCCUUGACUUUGGGAUAACUUCAGGAAACUGGGGCUAAUACCGGAUAGGAGCUCCUGCUGCAUGGUGGGGGUUGGAAAGUUUCGGCGGUUGGGGAUGGACUCGCGGCUUAUCAGCUUGUUGGUGGGGUAGUGGCGUACCAAGGCUUUGACGGGUAGCCGGCCUGAGAGGGUGACCGGCCACAUUGGGACUGAGAUACGGCCCAG